rnacentral:rRNA from 1 species
UGGGGAAUAUUGGACAAUGGAGGGAACUCUGAUCCAGCAAUUCUGUGUGUGUGAAGAAGGUUUUAGGACUGUAAAACACUUUUAGUAGGGAAGAAAAAAAUGACGGUACCUACAGAAGAAGCAACGGCUAAAUACGUGCCAGCAGCCGCGGUAAUACGUAUGUUGCGAGCGUUAUCCGGAAUUAUUGGGCUUAAAGGGCAUCUAGGCGGUAAGACAAGUUGAAGGUGAAAACCUGUGGCUCAACCAUAGGCUUGCCUACAAAACUGUUGAACUAGAGUACUGGAAAGGUGGGUGGAACUACACGAGUAGAGGUGAAAUUCGUAGAUAUCACACAGAACUCCGAUUGCGCAGGCAGCGUACUACAUUACAACUGACACUGAAGCACGAAAGCGUGGGUAUCAAACAGG